rnacentral:rRNA from 1 species
CCUACGGGAGGCAGCAGUGAGGAAUAUUGGUCAAUGGACGAGAGUCUGAACCAGCCAAGUAGCGUGAAGGAUGACUGCCCUAUGGGUUGUAAACUUCUUUUAUAAAGGAAUAAAACGAGGCACGUGUGCCUUUUUGCAUGUACUUUAUGAAUAAGGAUCGGCUAACUCCGUGCCAGCAGCCGCGGUAAUACGGAGGAGCCGAGCGUUAUCCGGAUUUAUUGGGUUUAAAGGGAGCGUAGAUGGGUUGUUAAGUCAGUUGUGAACGUUUGCGGCUCAACCGUAAAAUUGCAAUUGAUACUGGCAGUCUUGAGUACAGUUGAGGUAGGCGGAAUUCGUGUUGUAGCGGU